rnacentral:rRNA from 1 species
ACUACGGGAGGCAGCAGUGAGGAAUAUUGGUCAAUGGGCGGGAGCCUGAACCAGCCAAGCCGCGUGAGGGAAGAAGGUACAGCGUAUCGUAAACCUCUUUUGUCAGGGAACAAAGGCGGGGACUAGUCCCCGGAUGAGGGUACCUGAAGAAAAAGCAUCGGCUAACUCCGUGCCAGCAGCCGAGGUAAUACGGGGGAUGCGAGCGUUAUCCGGUUUGAUUUGGUUUAAAGGGAGCGUAUGUGGAUUGUUAAGUCAGUUGUGAAAGUUUGCGGCUCAACCGGAAAAGUGCAGGUGAAACUGGCAGUCUGGAGUACAGUAGAGGUGGGCGGAAUUCGUGGUGUAGCGGUGAAAUGCUUAGAUAUCACGAAGAACUCCGAUUGCGAAGGCAGCUCACUGGACUGCAACUGACACUGAGGCUCGAAAGCGUGGGUAUCAAACAGGAUUAGAUACCCGUGUAGUC